AUUGAACGCUGGCGGCAUGCCUUACACAUGCAAGUCGAACGGUAACAGGUCUUCGGAUGCUGACGAGUGGCGAACGGGUGAGUAAUACAUCGGAACGUACCUAGUAGUGGGGGAUAACUACUCGAAAGAGUGGCUAAUACCGCAUGAGAUCUACGGAUGAAAGCAGGGGAUCGCAAGACCUUGUGCUACUAGAGCGGCCGAUGGCAGAUUAGGUAGUUGGUGGGAUAAAAGCUUACCAAGCCGACGAUCUGUAGCUGGUCUGAGAGGACGAUCCGCCACAUUGGGACUGAGACACGGCCCAGCCUCCUACGGGAGGCAGCAGUGGGGAAUUUUGGACAAUGGGCGCAAGCCUGAUCCAGCAAUGCCGCGUGCAGGAUGAAGGCCUUCGGGUUGUAAACUGCUUUUGUACGGAACGAAAAGCCCUGGGUUAAUACCCUGGGGUCAUGACGGUACCGUAAGAAUAAGCACCGGCUAACUACGUGCCAGCCGCCGCGGUAAGAC
rnacentral:rRNA from 1 species